CGCGCAGCCCGGCCGCGGCGCGGCGUGGGCCUCCCGGCUUUCCGUCCGCGCGCCGCCAUUGGCUGGGCCGGGCGCCGCGAGCCGGGCGCGGCGGCUUCCAGGAUGGCGGCGUCCGCGGCGCUGCUGCUGCGCGAGAGCCCCAGCAUGAAAAAAGCUGUGACUCUGAUAAAUGCAAUAGACAUAGGACGAUUUCCGCGACUGCUUACCCGAAUUCUGCAGAAACUUCACCUGAAGGCCGAGAGCAGUUUCAGCGAAGAAGAGGAAGAAAAACUUCAAGCUGCGUUUUCUCUAGAGAAACAGGAUCUUCACCUAGUUCUUGAGACAAUAGCAUUUAUUUUAGAACAGGCCGUGUAUCACAACGUGAAGCCGGCGGCUCUGCAGCAGCAGCUACAGAGCAUCCAUCUGAGCCGAGACAAAGCAGAGGCAUUCGCCAGCGCCUGGGCUGCCGUGGGCCAAGAGACGGUCGAGAAGUUCAGGCAGAGGAUCCUGGCUCCCCACAAGCUGGAGACAGUCGGAUGGCAGCUUAACCUCCAGAUGGCUCACUCCGCUCAGGCCAAACUCAAGUCUCCGCAGGCUGUGCUACAGCUGGGAGUGAGCACUGAGGAUUCCAAGAUUUAUUUAUUUUGAAUGUCAGAGCCACAGAAACAGAGAGAGAGACAGAGAGAGAUCUUCCAUGCACGGGUUCACUCUCCAUAUGGCUGGACUGGCUGGGACUGAGCCAGACAGAACCAGGAGCUUCAUCCACUUACUACAGCUUCAACUGAGCCUAGAGAAAGUUCUUGUGGAAUUCAGUCACGAAGAGCUGUUUGAUUUCUACAACAAGCUGGAGACCAUACAAGCACAGCUGGAUUCCCUUAUGUGACGUUUCUGACGCCUGCUUUCUCCAUCGCACGCCUGCCCCUCGUUAUUUCACGUUGAAACUGGAUUGCCAGGUUCUGCCUUCUGGAGGAUCCAGCAGCCUUCCUUUUGCAGUUUUAUCGCUGCUGAGACAGACAGCCGUCCAGGGAGAGCGCGGGGAGGAGCACGGGGCUCUCACAUGCGUUCUGAGCCAGCGACCGUUGUUAGGAACACCUUGGCUUUAAUUAAGCAGACAUGAAUAUCAUAUUGGUUGUUGCUUUGCUCUUGUUGCUUUAUUGCUGGCCUGUUUAUUUUUUACGUACCUGCUGACACCUUGAUGUGUCAAGGAGAUCCGGGGAUACAGAGUGCACCCCAGCAGGCAGAGCUACAGUGUCAUAGGAAUGCAACUCAGAAAGCGGACACCUGAGUCAGUCCAGCGUGCCGUCCUCCCUUGCCUGUGAUGAGUGCAUUUUGCUUGAGAAAUGACAAAGGAAGAAAUUUAUAAUAGAACUGCUGGUAUUACAUCAGUCAUUUCCAGUGUGUGUCUCCAUUGUUUUAAUUUUUUCCCUGAGUUUAAUGAUUUAAUUGUAGCUCCGGUUUUGUGUGCUUUUCUCUGUCUGCAGAUUCGUAAUGAUUCACUUAGUACUGUAGGAAACAGACUCAGAUCCUGAAUAAAAAUAAUUGUAAUGAAUGCUAAAUGGACAUCAAUUUGGUUUCCUUUUAUAUUCUUUUUCUAGAAAUAUGCUAAAUGAUUUCAGUAAAUAAAAUUUUUAUGUCAAAGAAUUAGUUGAA